UACAUGUGGGGCAAGCGUUGUUCGGAAUUACUGGGCAUAAAGGGUGCGUAGGUGGUUUGUUAAGUCAGGGGUGAAGUCCCGCGGCCCAACCGUGGAACUGCCUUUGAUACUGGCGAACUUGAGUGCGUGAGGGGUAGGGGGAACGAGCAGUGUAGCGGUGAAAUGCGUAGAUAUUGCUCGGAAGGCCAGAGCCGAAGGGGCCCUACUGGUGCGCAACUGACACUGAGGCACGAAAGCGUGGGGAGCAAACAGG
rnacentral:rRNA from 1 species